CAGCCGCCGCGGUAAUACGGAGGGUGCAAGCGUUAAUCGGAAUUACUGGGCGUAAAGCGUGCGUAGGCGGUUUGUUAAGUCUGCUGUGAAAUCCCCGGGCUCAACCUGGGAAUGGCAGUGGAUACUGGCAAGCUAGAGUGUGUCAGAGGAUGGUGGAAUUCCCGGUGUAGCGGUGAAAUGCGUAGAGAUCGGGAGGAACAUCAGUGGCGAAGGCGGCCAUCUGGGACAACACUGACGCUGAGGCACGAAAGCGUGGGGAGCAAACAGGAUUAGAUACCCCCGUAGUCCCUGUCUCUUAUAC
rnacentral:rRNA from 1 species